rnacentral:sRNA from 1 species
AUGUUCUAUUCUCGUGGAUGAAUAUUGCGCAUGCAACUACUAAUUUGCCUUGGAUACAUUUACACACAUUGUCGUAACAAUAAAAGUGUAACAUCCGGGUGACUUAGUUUUUCGUGACGUCAUAACAUGGGGCUUCAUUACACGAAGACGAGGUCCAUUCGCUUCACGAGUUUCUCCAGGUUCCUGACUUCCGUUCUGAGGGACGAGGCCAGUGUCUCCAGGGUAUCCUUGUGUUCAAUCACCUGGAUCGACUGCGUAAUGGGGUCAUACCGGAGGUCAACUGACCGCUUGAUGGUGGAGACGUGGUCUCUGUAAAUCAACCAAUUAAAUCAUAAGAUAGGUAGAUCGAUGACUCGUAUUAAAAGUUACAUGACAUGUUUGUAAUCAAAUCAACAUGUUUGAUAAAUCAGGAGGACAUAUUAAGUUUGACAGGUGACACGUGCACCGGGGUGCCGCUCUCUUUGUUAGAACACAGAGGCAUCAAAUUACAGAAAACAGGGUUGCCAACUCCAUCUUAAUAUACUUUUUUUUAUACUUAAAUUAAAAAAAAUUGCCCCCCCCCCCAACUUACUCCAAAUCAUUUUACCCAGAAUACUCGCCCUUUAUCUACAUCAUUUUACCCAGAAUGCUUACCCCAUAUCUUCAUUAUAUUACCCAGAAUCCUCUCACUUCAUCAUUUUACAAUCAUUUUACCGAGAAUGCUUACCUAAUACUGUGGUUUCAUUAAUAUUCAAAGGUAUCAAUUUUCGUGGAUAAAGUAAAACUGGCCAAUGACCCUAUCAAUACAAAAUGUUAAUAGAAAUUGCACUUCAAUGAACACUCUUAAUUUCGUGGAUCAACUUAAUAACAAAAUCCACGAAAAUUGGUAUUCAAUGAAUAUUGAUGAAACCACAGUAUCUUCAUUAUAUUACCCAGAAUCCUCUCACUUCAUCAUUUUACAAUCAUUUUACCCAGAAUGCUCACCUCAUUUUCUGCAUCAUGUCCUCAAACGACUCCACGUAGAAGUAGAUCGGCUGGAGAUCUUCGUCUGUAUACUCCUGCACUGACGUCACAGUCGGGCUGAACGGAAGUUGCUUGGGGCUGUCCGAGAGCGCAUGCUUCAACUCUCCGUAGGAUGACAGGGUUCCAGCGCCGUAGGCUCGUAACUUUCCGUCUUGGCGAACUAAGCCGAACUCCACGGUGAACCAGUAUAACUGUGUAGAAAGCAAUUGAUUUAUAAAACUGUUUUAUUCUAUAUAUCUGUCAUUCAGUUAUUUUAUAAAGCACACUUUUUAAAUCAAUCAAUAUACUCUGGUUUGAACAAUAUUCGUUGAAUUCCAAUUUUCGUGGAUUUUAGUUUUUGGUUUUUGGUUGUUAUUUUGUUGUUUAGUCUUGGUAUUUUUGUUCUGUUUUUUUUUUUUGUUUAUUGAAAUACAACAUCUAUCAACAUAUUGUGUUAUUAAAAUAAUUUAUCAUGAUAUUAGGUAUCCUUGAAACUUUGAUUUUACUUAAUUUACAUGAAUUGAAAACUGCAAAUAUUUAAUUUAAUGAAAUCACAAUACAUUGUAUAUAUAGCAAAAUAAUUAAUUUGAAUCACAGUAUUGUUUUAAUUUGAUGUUUGGGUUUUUUUACUUUUCAUUUACGAUUCUCUGUGACAGAGUGAUGAUCUUUGUGAUGCUCUACAUCUUGUUUGCAUAAUUAUUUUAAAUCUAUCUACUUUAAGCCUGAUACCGUUGCUAGUUUCUCUAUUUCUUGAUCUGAUGCUCCGAGUGACGCCAGACCAAUUUCCUGUGAGAACUGCGCAAAUGCGGGAACAGACAACAUUGGCACGUGGCCCAACAACUCGUGUACACAAUCUCUAGAAAAAUUGUUGGAAGAUAAUCAUAUUAAACUUAACACA